rnacentral:rRNA from 1 species
AUUGAACGCUGGCGGCAGGCUUAACACAUGCAAGUCGAGCGAGUGGCGGACGGGUGAGUAAUGUCUGGGAAACUGCCUGAUGGAGGGGGAUAACUACUGGAAACGGUAGCUAAUACCGCAUACCAUCGGAUGUGCCCAGAUGGGAUUAGCUAGUAGGUGGGGUAAAGGCUCACCUAGGCGCCGAUCCCGCGCUGGUCUGAGAGGAUGACCAGCCACACUGGAAUUGUGAAACGGUCCAGACUCCUACGGAAGGCAGCAGUGGGAAAUAUUGCACAAUGGGCGCAAUCCUGAUGCAGCAAUGCCGCGUGGAUGAAGAAGACCUGCGGGUUGUAAAGUACUUUCAGCGGGGAGGCGUUACCCGCAGAAGAAGCACCGGCUAACUCCGUGCCAGCAGCCGCGGUAAUAC